rnacentral:rRNA from 1 species
UACUGGGGGGGCAAGCGUUGUUCGGAAUUACUGGGCGUAAAGGGCUCGUAGGCGGCCAACUAAGUCCGACGUGAAAUCCCAAAGCUUAACUUUGGAACUGCGUCGGAUACUGGAUGGCUUGAAUUCGGGAGAGGGAUGCAGAAUUCCAGGUGUAGCGGUGAAAUGCGUAGAUAUCUGGAGGAAUACCGGUGGCGAAGGCGGCAUCCUGGACCGACAUUGACGCUGAGGAGCGAAAGCUAGGGGAGCAAACGGG